rnacentral:rRNA from 1 species
UAGAGUUUGAUCAUGGCUCAGAUUGAACGCUGGCGGCAUGCUUUACACAUGCAAGUCGAACGGUAACAGGUCUUCGGAUGCUGACGAGUGGCGAACGGGUGAGUAAUACAUCGGAACGUGCCUAGUAGUGGGGGAUAACUACUCGAAAGAGUAGCUAAUACCGCAUGACAUCUAAGGAUGAAAGCAGGGGACCUUCGGGCCUUGUGCUACUAGAGCGGCUGAUGGCAGAUUAGGUAGUUGGUGGGAUAAAAGCUUACCAGCCGACGAUCUGUU